GCUGCCUGUGUGGCUGGCACUGGCUCCCUUUGUGGCUGGCACUAGCUCUCUAUGUGGCUUGCAUUCGCUAUGUGGCUGGCACUGGCUCUCUCUGUGGCUCCCUUGGGCUCCCUAUGUGGCUCGCACCGGCUCCCU
rnacentral:lncRNA from 1 species